GAGUGGAGAUGAGAUUGAGAGGGAAGAUGAUCAAGGUGGAUGAGAGGAAUGCGUAAAAACUAAACUGAAAUCUAUUAGAAAUUGUUUUCGCUAAGUUUUUGUUUUCACUUUUGUUACUCCUCCCUCUCAUCCUCCCUUCUCAUCUUCUCUCUCAAUCU
rnacentral:miRNA from 1 species